rnacentral:rRNA from 1 species
AGAUUGAACGCUGGCGGCAGGCCUAACACAUGCAAGUCGAGCGGCAGCACGGGUACUUGUACCUGGUGGCGAGCGGCGGACGGGUGAGUAAUGCCUAGGAAUCUGCCUGAUAGUGGGGGAUAACGCUCGGAAACGGACGCUAAUACCGCAUACGUCCUACGGGAGAAGGCAGGGGACCUUCGGGCCUUGCGCUAUCAGAUGAGCCUAGGUCGGAUUAGCUAGUUGGUGGGUAAUGGCUCACCAAGGCGACGAUCCGUAACUGGUCUGAGAGGAUGAUCAGUCACACUGGAACUGAGACACGGUCCAGACUCCUACGGGAGCAGCAGUGGGAAUAUUGGACAAUGGGCGAAAGCCUGAUCCAACCAUGCCGCGUGUGUGAAGAAGGUCUUCGGAUUGUAAAGCAACUUUAAGUUGGGAGGAAGGCAAGUUACCUAAUACGUAUCUGUUUUGACGUUACCGACAGAAUAAGCACCGCUAACUCUGUGCCAGCACG